rnacentral:lncRNA from 1 species
ACGCUCACAGGCACCGACUCCAGAUUUUACUCGAGCUGACCUUGUGUCAGGCAUGAAUGAUCGGGGUCAUACACAUACAUAGUCGAGUCGGCAAAUACAAUCUCCACUGCAAUGUAGUGAUGAUUGACACACACCGGAAUGUACAAAUGCGUACAACCCUUCCAUGGCUUUCCCCCGAUACUCGGCAACAUCCCUACGACCCACUCCAUCUUGUAUGUAGGCACCGUGUACUCGCUACCCAUAGCUUGCAACGUCUGGU